UACAGAGGGUGCAAGCGUUAAUCGGAAUUACUGGGCGUAAAGCGCGCGUAGGUGGCUGAUUAAGUCGGAUGUGAAAGCCCCGGGCUUAACCUGGGAACUGCAUUCGAUACUGAUCAGCUAGAGUAUGAGAGAGGGAGGUAGAAUUCCACGUGUAGCGGUGAAAUGCGUAGAUAUGUGGAGGAACACCGGUGGCGAAGGCGGCAUCCUGGACCGGCAUUGACGCUGAGGCGCGAAAGCCAGGGGAGCAAACGGG
rnacentral:rRNA from 1 species